CGAAGCUGAAAAACAGGAAAUAGACAUAAGAUUUUAUGCAGUCCUUGGUGCGUUAUGUUUCACAUUACUUCUCAUUGGAGUGUAUGCUGUUUGCAAAAUCGUGCAAUGUAAAAGGAGGACAUGAUACGAAGGUGAAAAAUAUCGUCCCGAUGAUUCUCAUCCUUGCAUUAAAGACCCUUCAUUAAAAGUCAAUGAAGGUGGGAUUGUCAGUAAUGUAUAUCAAGAACUGGGAGAAAUGGGCCAGUCCUCAAUCUAUGAUCCUGUCGACUAGGAGAUAAUUAAACUUACCUAAGAUGUAUACAGUGUAUACCUAGAAUAUGGACAGUGAGUUGUGCACUCUCACUACAUCGUGGAUUCCAAAAUAUUGAUAGGCACCAAUAUGUUAUAUUUUAAUUUGCUAUGACAUCUGCAAUUUUACAAGAAACAUACACUGUGAUCAAUAUAUGCGAGCAUUUCUUUCGUACAGAUAACAAUAUGAUGAUAACAUUACCAUAUUUCAAAGAAGAUUAAGAUUGAUGUCAAUAUGUUUGAACCGCCAUGCCAGGAAGUAAGAAUGAUAAUGAUGUGAGAUAUGGCGAUUUUUAUAUUUAUCAAUGUUAUUUUGGAGUUAUCUUUUUUCCAUCGUAUAUCGUUGGAAAUUCAUGAUAAAUACCAUCUCGCUGUUUUCAGAACUCAAUGCCUCACUUUUUCGUCAGAUUGAAGCAUUAAAAUAGCUUUAUGUUUGGUAUGAAAUUAAUUUGAUAUCUACACAUUGCAAAAAUACUAUUAUUUACUACGAUAAUGAGUAAUGUAUUAAUAUUUUUAUAUCAUGUUAGUACAUUAUACUGCAUUGCGUUUUUAUAUUCUUAUAACCAUGGGAAUUGUAAAUGUUUUAGAAAUGUGACAGAAAGUUGUAUAAAAGCUAUAGCUAAGUUAGGUCUGAUAUGUUGGUACAUGCUAGAUAUACGAUGUUUUAUGUGCUUUUUGUAUUACUGUGAGAAUUGAAGACUCACAAUAGCCAAUUUUCGAUUUCGAAUUUCGCUUUUAUACUUCGGAAUUCAUUUAAUCCCUU